rnacentral:rRNA from 1 species
UGGCGGACGGGUGAGUAAUGUCUGGGAAACUGCCCGAUGGAGGGGGAUAACUACUGGAAACGGUAGCUAAUACCGCAUAACGUCGCAAGACCAAAGAGGGGGACCUUCGGGCCUCUUGCCAUCGGAUGUGCCCAGAUGGGAUUAGCUAGUAGGUGGGGUAACGGCUUACCUAGGCGACGAUCCCUAGCUGGUCUGAGAGGAUGACCAGCCACACUGGAACUGAGACACGGUCCAG